rnacentral:rRNA from 1 species
AUGAUUGGCAUAAGGGCUUCAGCAUCCACAAGAUCGACGUCCGCCUUACAGGACACUACCACCGACCUGCACCAUGGGUUUCCUGACCCUGCUAUUCUCCGAUUAGCCGCACCGGUACAUCGUCUUCACAUGGACUUUGCCGCCAUGGGCAGCGACAUCUUCAUCACCACCAACCCAUGCUGUCCACGCACUCCCACCCUCGUGUUUGACACCGAGACGGCUGGGCUCACCAUGGGUCCCCGUCCACCGGUUCGACUCAUCGACAGUACCGCCUUCACCGUGGCUGCCGGCGGCAUGCUGUACGCGUUGACACAUCCCCAUGUCCAUGAGCAGCACUCUUUCGAGGCCAUAUCAUGGGCACCAAUGGACAAGGACGAUCCAUGGCCGAGCCCAACCAUGAGGUGGUCCUGGAAAAGCGUGCCCUCGCCACCACCAUUCGCCAUGGAUGACAUAAUCACCUCUUACGCACUGCACCCGGACGGGCACACCAUAUUCAUGUCCGCGCACGACAUACGCUAUCAUCAUCUUCCAAAGGGCACCUUCUCCUUCGACACCACGACCUCCGAGUGGAGGUUGCAUGGGGAUUGGGCUCUACCGUUCCAAGGGCAAGCCUACUACGACAACGAGCUAGACGCAUGGGUCGGGCUUCACAAGGACGGGUAUAUCUGCUCCUGUGAAGUCGCCUCCCGCAGCAGCACAAGUGCGGUGGAGCCGGAGUGGAAGGUGACCAAGGAGAAGCUGUUCCACAAGGACCCCGAGAGGCGGCUGGCAUGUGCGAGGGCCAGCCUCGCGUACAUGGGAGAUGGCAGCUUUGCCUUGUGGAGUCUGUGCUACGCGAGGGAGUGGAGUUUAAGUGCGCCUUUGGUGACUGUGAUGGCUGUGUCCUCCACAUGA